AGACAGAGUCUCGCUCUGUUUCCCAGGCUGGAGCGCAGUGGCAUGAUCACAGCUCACGGCAGCCUUGACCACCUGGGCUCAAGCAAUCUUCCCACCUUAGCCUCCUGAGUAGCUGGGACCACAGGCACAUGCCACCAAGCCUGCCUAAUUUUUUUAUUUUUUUUGUAGAUGAAGGGUCUUGCUAUGUUGACCAGGCUGGUCUUGAACUCCUGGGCUCAAGCGAUCCUCCCACUUCAGCCUCCCAAAGUGCUGGGACUACAGACGUGAGCCACUGCACCCGGCCUAAACAUAGUUUUCCAAGCACACUAUGGUCAUUAUCUUUAAUUUAUGGGAGAAUUAAAGAGUUGAAAUGACUCUUCACUCUUUUGAAGUGGUAGCAACUAAAAAACAUAGUAGUUUUUUAGUUUUGGCAGUAGUUAUGGCAGAGAGAUUGGAACCACUGGAUGCUGGACUUCUGGGGCAUGAUGGCUCACUCGAUAGAGAGAGAGCACUACGGAAGGGAGCCCCAUUCCCAAGCAUGGUGUCCAAUACACUGAAAGAAUAACUGGGCUCAGUAAUGCACCUAGAGACUCAGAUUCCAGACCUGCCCACUUGCUUUACUAUCCAAAACAACCAUGACACAUGACUUCUCUGGCAGGGUGUUGGCCAAGACAAAUUGAACUAUAGAAGAUCCUUGACUUGCCAACGUUCAAAUGAUGAACUUUCAAAAAUAGCGAAACUGGCUGCGGAGCAAAAGCUUUUCAGCUCUGCACAACACCAACAGAUGGCGCUAAGUGUCACCCUUGUGGAGAGCAGAGGGGCCUCGGAAGGGCCUUUGGAAAUCUAAUCUGGUUUUGAGUUCUUGGUGGGAAAAUGCACCUUUAAGUUGGGGGAGUUUGAAGACAUUGCCAAGACACGUGCUGCAGCAUUUGAUCUUUUCUGCCGCACUGGCUUCUGCAAUUAACAUGCUUUCACCAGUGAAACUCAGGUUGCGGGGAGAGCAUUCUUCCAGGUUUAUGCCUGUUGUCAUGGAGUAAUUAUAAUUCAUGUCUCUGUUCACAGUGUCCUAGUUUGUAGAAUAAAAUAUCUGGUCCACCC